AUUACACAAUAUUAUAAAAUACAUUGUAGGCGCUGGGCUUCUGGAAUUUUUUAAAUUCAUUACAUUUUCACUUCAGCUGAAGGAUCAAAUGAACAAUUACAAAGGUGGAAUCAGCAUUAAGAGGCAGAGUAUCAUUCACCUCCACAGUCACCAGUUAUUAUUCUAACUGGCAUGUUCUUGGCGUGUGGGAGAACCAGAGAAUUUGGAGAAACCCAUGUUGACACAGGGAGAAAAUGCAAAAAUGACCCAGCCGGCCGGCAGGUGUGACUGUCAUUAUCUCACCAGUGCUUCCGUCUGUAUCAUCAGCUCACCAGUUUUUUCCCGUUUGCCAGUUCAUGAGAUGUAGAUGCUGUGUACUGGUGUUCCAGCCAUCUGUACCUGUUCCAGUUUUCCUGCCUGGUGUCUGCUCCCUGAGCUCUGGCCUGCUGCCUGUUAACGACCCGCCUGCUUUGCUCGUCUGGAUGUCUUUGCCUGUUGGACUGCCUCCUCCUGCCUGACUACCAGCUCCAUAGUUUGAACACUGAUUUGGAAUGGGAAACAACUUCUGAGCCCAUAAAGGAUGGGAGGUUUCCUGGAUGAGGUGUAAAGGUCAGCUGAGAAAAGAAUAAUCUUAACAAUGUGUUGUAAGACCAUGUCAGCCAUGAGACUCAGAUGUGACGCUGGCCUUCAGGAGGAUCUGUCUAUGACCAAAGUGUAACUGCCAGAGCAUUGAACUGAGUCUGUUUUGACCAGUGAAGCUACUGAAAUGCAACAAAUGAAGCUACUGGAAGCUGCUGUUGCUGCUGAGGAAGAUCCAAAAAGGAAUAAAUAAUGAAAAUGAAUGUGCUGCCUCAUUAUUUUCUUUAAGACUGGUACAAUAGUUGAAUUUCUUUUCUCCCUUGUGAAUAAAUCCAAGAAUAAGGACAAAGGUACAGAAAUACUGAACAAAGUGAACCAAGCUGAGGAUUCGGCCGGUGGAUGUGCAACUCCUGGUGCCUAACAAGCAUCUUGUUAACCAAUCCUGUCAGCCUGUCUUGCUCUCUUCUGUACCUUCCUCAUGACAUGAGGUCUUAUUCGAAAUAAAAAUGAAUG